rnacentral:rRNA from 1 species
AGAGUUUGAUCCUGGCUUAGAUUGAACGCUGGCGGCGUGCUUAACACAUGCAAGUCGCGCGUGAAAGGACUUCGGUCCGAGUAAAGCGGCGCACGGGUGAGUAACGCGUGGAUGAUCUACCCAUGAGUUAGGAAUAACGGCUGGAAACGGUCGCUAAUACCAAAUACGCUCCGAUUUCAACUUCGGGGGAAAGGUGGCCUCUGCUUGCAAGCUACUGCUCAUGGAUGAGUCCGCGUCCCAUUAGCUAGUUGGUGGGGUAACGGCCCACCAAGGCGACGAUGGGUAGCCGGUCUGAGAGGAUGACCGGCCACACUGGGACUGGAACACGGCCCAGACUCCUACGGGAGGCAGCAGUGGGGAAUAUUGCGCAAUGGGCGAAAGCCUGACGCAGCGACGCCGCGUGAGGGAAUGAAGGUCCUCGGAUCGUAAACCUCUGUCAGGAGGGAAGAACCGCCACGGUGCUAAUCAGCCGUGGUCUGACGGUACCUCCAAAGGAAGCACCGGCUAACUCCGUGCCAGCCGCCGC